AUGCAGGCCCAGGUUCUGAGGGAUGCAGGCCCAGGCCCAGGUUCUGAGGGAUGCAGGCCCAGGCCCAGGUACUGAGGGAUGCAGGCCCAGGUACUGAGGGAUGCAGGCCCAGGUUCAGGCACUGAGGGAUGCAGGCCCAGGCCCACGUACUGAGGGAUGCAGGCAGACUUGCUAGGCCCUGCUAAACCGGUACAUGCCUUCAAAAAGGCAAGCAUCACUUCCUUCUCAUUUGUUUUCCCAAGGUGUGUGGGCCCUUCAAAAUCUUGGAAUGAAAUUGCUUUACCUAAUGUGAUGCUUGACUCCAGGCCUUGUGACUGAAGGGUUUUGUGGGGUGGUGGUGGGGUAUGUGUUUAAAGUAGGAAAAACGCCAAUUCUUUUUCCAGCUUUCUGGGCAGAACCUAACAGCCGAGGAGAGCUAGAAUCGCACGCAGGUCCUUACUGGAUAACUUUAUAUUAUUCAUGGGGAAUAACCAAUUUUCAAAAAACCCCAGCCCCUUUUCAGCAUUGGCAGCUUCCUCUGGAACCAGGAAACUGAGCAUGCUCUGUGCUUGCCUUGGCACUUGCGGAGUGGUUGUGACUGACGAUACUCCAGGUUCCCACUUUCUCAAGCAGUCACACCAAAGGCACCUCAGUACCGUGCUCUGUUCCCUCUCGCUACACAAACAUGCCCUCACAAAUUACAGGCUUUGGCCCAGAUAGAGGAGGCUGUGUUUACCUGUUAUCCACGGGCACGCCUUUCGUGUUGUCCUAGUAUUUUGUUCCCCCUUUCUUGACCAUAUAAGGGCAGACGUUUAGCUUGGCCCUAAGUCACUUUGGUCUUACACAGCAAGCGGGGUGAAACCCUCUCUGUGUGUCGACAGUUUACAUGAAAUAAAACGAUCUGACCUUUGGCCAUUCCGUGCCCCGCUCUGAUUCAGUCAGGACUUUGAAAAUAUAUUCCAGACCAUUGCUUUUCAGAGUAAAGGGUUCUCCUCCUUCUGUAUUGGCUGAGAUGUGAAUUUGGUGUCAAUCUUAUUUGGAAUAACAUUUUGCUGCGCUAGCUUGUGAACACCCUGAUUUCUACAUAGUGCCUUUUUUUGAGUAGGGGAACGGGUGUGUGUGUGUG